CUAUAUUUUCAUUAUUAGUUUUAUUGAGAAAAACAAGAGACAUAUCGUGUAUGAUGCUCUACAGGCAUUGACAUUCAAGGGCAGAAUGUGGAAAGCCAAUAUGCACUGUGGCAUUGGGCUUUCCACAUGUGCGACAACAGAUUUCUAUAACAAGUCCUCCAUGUUGAAUGCGGUGAAUGUGACUAUUUCCACAAUGGCUACAUGCGUCACUAUGCUCGCAGUCACCAGGAAGUAGAUAUAUGUCUGCAAAUAGUAAGGAAUAAUUUAGAGCUGACAUUAUAAUGCAUCAUUGUAUUGUUCUUUAUCAUUAUAUUUGAUAAGAGUAUUUAAUAUUUACUAAAAUGUGAAAUUUAUUUUUAUUCAUUCAAUGCUUUCAGUAAAUUGUCACAUUCGAUUGAUGUGUUUGAGCUUUUGAUUUGCCAUUUGACUUUUUGUUGUGAAUUUUCCUCGGAGUUCAGUAUUUUUGUGAUUUUACUUUUUUGCACAGAAAUCGAACACAACCUUUAAGUUUGUCCUUCCGUAAGUAAACGCAUAAAUAAAUAUAUAAGAAAAAGACCAAUACAACAAUUGUUUAACAAAAUCAUUAGACCCAACUUUUUGAUGACAGAAGAAUGUGCAUCAAUGGUUAACAUUAUUUUAAAAUGCAUGCUGGACUUGUUGAGUUUUCCCUAGUGGAUUGGAGAAAAAUAUGAUUGAUUUUUUAUUUGUGUCUACAUGUCUUAUAUAUGGAAGGGUUAUGAUUUUAUGAAUCUAGUUUAUGUCAACGACAUGUUGAAUGGCCCUGUCCUCAACAGGAAAAGGAUCAAAUUGGUCAUUUGUGUUUACCUGUCUUUUGUUUUAUGUUGUAGUUAAAAUUAUAUACUUCGACAUUGUGCUGUGCCCUAGGAUUUGUUUGGUUCUAAUGAACGACCAAUUAUCUUUGAAGGGGGCUUGAUAAUAGUUAUUUUCUUAACAAACAAUUUUGAUUAAGAAAAAAGUAAGUUUCCAAUUUAACUUGAUUAUAGAUAUGAGCUUACCAUCCAGAAGGAAUUUCUUUUGUGGAAGAGAACUCACAUAAGCUAUAAGAACCAAGAGAGCAACUACGAACAAUUUCAUGUUUAGCCUGUA
rnacentral:lncRNA from 1 species